rnacentral:rRNA from 1 species
ACGCUCGACACCUACGGGAGGCAGCAGUGGGAAUAUUGCACAAUGGGGGAAACCCUGAUGCAGCGACGCCGCGUGAGUGAAGAAGUAUUUCGGUAUGUAAAGCUCUAUCAGCAGGGAAGAAAAUGACGGUACCUGACUAAGAAGCCCCGGCUAACUACGUACCAGCAGCCGCGGUAAUCUGAGCGGGCUGGCAAGGC